AGUGAUUUUGAUGAACAGUACUUCGAUGAAUAGUGUCGUGUCUGCUACAACUCGCCCCCAAAACGAAAGUACAGAUGAGCAACCGAACUUUGAUACCAUGUAAACAAACAAGUGAAAGACAUAACGACUAGGGUUUCGUAUUAUUAUCAAAGAGACAAAUAUAAUGAAAAUGAAAGACAUAAUAUAUAGAGUAGCUAAUUAGGGUAUUCUUGGUAAAUGGCCCAAUCAUAAAACCCAAUACAAGAUAAAACUCAAAAUCUUAUUAGGCUAACACCAUCAACCCUUUUAAACAAGUUGUUAAUCAAAUACCAUUCUCUUCCAAUUCCAAAGAACCCUUUUUUUAUAACUUUUUAUAUUGACAUAUUGUUCUAAAUUUUUUUUAAUAUAAAUUUAUUAAAGUAUUUGGGUUUUUGAGUUUGAUUGUAGUUCCCAAAGUGUUUUAGUUUUAUUUAACUAUAUAUGAUAUUUGGUUUGUUAAUUAAAUUUGAAGUCAAGUUUUAUAUUUUUCCAUGACAAGCAUCAAAUUCAUUUUUUUAACGGCGGAAGUAUUAUCAAAUUCAUUUUUUAGUACAGGUUUUGAAUGAAAGCUUAAACUAAGAACCCGUAAAUAUACUAAUUAAGGUGAACGAAUGACUACGAUUAUAAAAGUACAAUUAUUAUUUUAUAUUGAUUCCGUCUAGUGACUUACAUUUUAUUUCUUUUAUAUGACUAAAAUGCAAAUAUUUUUCUCUAUAUUUUAAAAUGGUUGUCCAAUGGCAGAUCCAACCGGAAGUCAAAUAGGAUUCCUACUGACCGUUUGAUUGACCAUUGACUAAAAGUCAACUGUCGGAUCCAUUAUCCAUAAUCUUCUGCCUUAUGGUAAACAUAUGUUAUAACUUAUAAUUUAGAACCAAAUACGAAUAACUAAAACUCCAAUUAACCAAGAAUUACAACUAACAAAAUCUCACCAAAGAAAAACCCAAUUUAUAAUUAGCAAAAUCAAACAAAAAAAAACUCAAUCAUUUAAUAGCUGAAGUUAACAAAUAAUAAUUAAACCAACAACUAACAAUUAUUACCAAAAAAAUAUACAAAUACGACGAGUAGUUGCAUUUAUUUAUUACUUUUACAAAGAUGGAAGAUGGCAGGGAUUUUUACUUGUUCAUCCAAAGUUGGCAGGAAAGGGUGAGAAACAGGCAGUGGCAAUACAUUGCAUUCGCAUCCGCGACUGAAUUAUCACCGAGUGAUAGAAACACGUAGUGGCAAAUUCUAAUUAGACAUUUCUAUUUCUGUGAAAAGUGAUUGAAGACUUGGACCACUGACAUCCACGUGAAAUUGGAUUAUGGUUAUUUGAAUUUCUAAGGUUUCAUUUAAUGUCUCUCUAAAUAAAAGAAACAAAUUUUAUUUCUAUGAAAUUCAGAAUUACUUUUAUUAUUCAAAAAAAUGUUUUACUUUAAUUGUUCUAAUUAAAAAAGAAAAUAACAUUAGCAUAAAUUAACAUCAGUAGUAUUAGUAUAUUCAUAUUACUCUAAACAUGUUCAUCAAAUCCUCAUACGGAUCUAAUAUUCUAAUUUGUUGAAAACAAAAUAUAUUGUUUUUUCCUUUAAUAGCCAACCAUUAAUCUUAUUAACAGGUGCUUGGCUAAGCUUACUUUAAAGUUUUUUAAUUUAUUACGGGCUCCACACCCGGAAAACCAAUGUUUUGAAAUAGAUGUUUUUUACUUAAAUAGCUUAUAACGGUUUCAGACAUGAGAUAACCAUUUUUGAUAAGUUACUAUUCACUGGCUUAUUAAAAGCUACCAAAAACUUUUUUAAAAACUUCAUUUCCGUAUCGUUAUAAGUUAAUGAGUUAAUAACUUAAAAAUGCUUAUCAUUUUAAAUAAGCUUUCCCAAACACCCUCUAAGCCAAGACUAGCAAAGAAACAACCCGACAAAAAUAGUUACAGCAAAAUUAAAUGAAGAUUUUUUAUCCAUUCAACUCACAAGACAUUAGAAUUUUUAUAUAGAUAAAAAGAUGUAUAAAUACGAUGUUCAAUGGCAAAUUUACAUAUAUACUUAUUGUGUUUAUGGGUACUUUUUAGUUUCAAUAGUUUUUAUGAAAAACUAUUGAAAGUUUUUUUUGUCUAUAUAUGGUGGAGCUUAUGAAAUAUCUUAUAUCAUUGAGAGUCAUUAUAGAAUGAUAUUUAUAAUAACAUAUUGUCCUAUAGGGUCAUACAUUAUAGCAAGUUACAUCUAACUGAUUAUUUAUUAGUAUAAUUUUAUUAUUAAUAAAUACCAACACUUGUAUUUAAUACACAUGUUUUACCCAACAUAUUAUGUAGAUAUAAAUACAUAUACAGUUUAAAUCAUAUAAAACUUGUAUAAAAUCGUUCAUCCAGCCUAAAUAGCAAGUAUACAGAUAAUAUACACACAUAACACGUAAUUUCUAUAAAAUACUUAAUAUCUAUGUGUAAGAUGUAAGAGACCAUGCACUCACUUGAAAAGGUGGUGAUUCCAAACUCAGACAGCGCUUCGUUUCUUAAAAAAUAAUUUCCUUCGACGAAACCUAGUAUUAUUACCACUAGAGUUUAGUCUAUUAUUCGUCGAGACUAAUUAAUAGUCUAGCUAUUAUUACUAUUAUAUAAGCGUUAUAAAAUACUUAUAUAACCCAUAAUAAUAGCCCAAGUACUUAUUAUAAGUUCCUAAUAACGUUACUAUAAUUAAAUAAAAGUUAUAUUAAAAAUAGCGUAGGCGUAGCUCACUUACAACAGGUUUUAUAGAAAACCGGGCUUUGCUUGGAGCAGCAUUCACGAGCCUAAAAUCUCUUAUUCUCGGAGCCGUCUAGCACUCUGGGGCUUCCGCCUCGUGCUAGGGAGGUUCCCUAGGCUUUUCAGGGGGUUUUAGGGCUAGAGAGAGGUUCUAGAGAGAGUAAAGAGAAGAAAGAAU
rnacentral:lncRNA from 1 species